rnacentral:lncRNA from 1 species
GACUGCUCGCUAAAGUCCUUUUUAUCCCAGCCGGUAGGUCUUUAGACGUUACAGAGAACCCCGAAUAACCCAAACUGCUAAUCUUCGAUACCGCUUUAUACUCACGAUCUUAUAUCCACUGACUGUCUCGUUAGAUUAACCCAAUAAAUUUCAUUCACUCCACAUAAUCAAUCCUAUAGACACCCUUUUAAUUCUUCAAUCACAGAUGUAACUUUGAUUUCACAAAACAGUCAAGAGUAAUCACACUCACUUCAUUAAAAUCCCGAUUUACCAGUACAAUACUGACUUCACCAACGAUUGCCUCAAUCUUCCCAAAAUCCUAUGAAGAAAAAAAAAACCCCCAAUUCUCUAUCUUUUCUUUCCCGACCCAAAGCAUGAAGCUCGCU